rnacentral:rRNA from 1 species
UGGGGGAUAUUGCACAAUGGAGGAAACUCUGAUGCAGCGACGCCGCGUGAGGGAAGAAGGUCUUCGGAUUGUAAACCUCUGUCUUUCGGGACGAAGGAAGUGACGGUACCGAAAGAGGAAGCCAC